AGAGUUUGAUCCUGGCUCAGGAUGAACGCUGGCGGCGUGCUUAACACAUGCAAGUCGAGCGAAGCAGUUAAGUUGAUUUCUUCGGAUUGAUUCUUAACUGACUGAGCGGCGGACGGGUGAGUAACGCGUGGGUGACCUGCCCCAUACUGGGGGAUAACAGCUGGAAACGGCUGCUAAUACCGCAUAAGCGCACAGUACCACAUGGUACAGUGUGAAAAACUCCGGUGGUAUGAGAUGGACCCGCGUCUGAUUAGCUGGUUGGCGGGGUAACGGCCCACCAAGGCGACGAUCAGUAGCCGGCCUGAGAGGGUGACCGGCCACAUUGGGACUGAGACACGGUCCAAACUCCUACGGGAGGCAGCAGUGGGGAAUAUUGCACAAUGGGGGAAACCCUGAUGCAGCAACGCCGCGUGAGUGAAGAAGUAUUUCGGUAUGUAAAGCUCUAUCAGCAGGGAAGAUAAUGACGGUACCUGACUAAGAAGCCCCGGCUAAAUACGUGCCAGCAGCCGCGGUAAUACGUAUGGAGCAAGCGUUAUCCGGAUUUACUGGGUGUAAAGGGAGCGCAGGCGGUACGGCAAGUCUGAUGUGAAAGCCCGGGGCUCAACCCCGGUACUGCAUUGGAAACUGUCGGACUAGAGUGUCGGAGGGGUAAGUGGAAUUCCUAGUGUAGCGGUGAAAUGCGUAGAUAUUAGGAGGAACACCAGUGGCGAAGGCGGCUUACUGGACGAUUACUGACGCUGAGGCUCGAAAGCGUGGGGAGCAAACAGGAUUAGAUACCCUGGUAGUCCACGCCGUAAACGAUGAUUACUAGGUGUUGGAGGAUUGACCCCUUCAGUGCCGCAGUUAACACAAUAAGUAAUCCACCUGGGGAGUACGACCGCAAGGUUGAAACUCAAAGGAAUUGACGGGGGCCCGCACAAGCAGUGGAGUAUGUGGUUUAAUUCGAAGCAACGCGAAGAACCUUACCAGGUCUCGACAUCGUAUGCAUAGCUCAGAGAUGAGUGAAAUCUCUUCGGAGACAUAUAGACAGGUGGUGCAUGGUUGUCGUCAGCUCGUGUCGUGAGAUGUUGGGUUAAGUCCCGCAACGAGCGCAACCCUUACUGUUAGUUGCUACGCAAGAGCACUCUAGCAGGACUGCCGUUGACAAAACGGAGGAAGGUGGGGAUGACGUCAAAUCAUCAUGCCCCUUAUGACCUGGGCCUCACACGUACUACAAUGGCUGUUAACAGAGGGAUGCAAAGCCGCGAGGUGGAGCGAACCCCUAAAAGCAGUCUUAGUUCGGAUUGUAGGCUGCAACCCGCCUACAUGAAGUCGGAAUUGCUAGUAAUCGCAGAUCAGCAUGCUGCGGUGAAUACGUUCCCGGGCCUUGUACACACCGCCCGUCA
rnacentral:rRNA from 1 species